ACGUAGGGGGCAAGCGUUGCUCGGAAUUACUGGGCGUAAAGGGUGUGUAGGUGGCUGAUUAAGUUAAGGAUGAAAUCCCGAGGCUCAACUUCGGAACUGUCCUUGAUACUGGUCAGCUUGAGGCUAGUAAAGGAGAGCGGAGUUCCCUGUCGUUGGGUGAAGCGCGGCGCUUACAGCUGGAAUAGAGGCGUGUGAGACUGCUACCCAGUCUCAAACUCCAACUCAUGUCUUCCAGCUAGAGGAGCAAAAGG
rnacentral:rRNA from 1 species